CGAGCUGGUAGCGGUGAGAACAGAGGCGGCGCGAUGGGAGCUUGGGAGGCGGAGCGAGUCAGUCGGGGGUCGGUUAGGCGGAGAACGGAUCAGUCAUGGGUGAGCGAUCUGGUCCUCCAUUUGAUCCUACGGCGACUGUACCGGAACAGAGGCGGCGAUCUGGUCCUCCUUCCCGAGCAGUUUUCAGUCGUGGAACAUAUGCUCUUCUUUUAUCCCCUCUUUAUCCCCGUCAUUCUCCUCCCCCUCCGGCAAGUAAACAAGAGAGACCAAUGGCCGCCAGGAUCACGAGACUGCACCUGCACCAGCACCAGCGCCACCGCCUCCUCGCCACUGCCGCGGGGGGCGCUCACAUUCGCGGCGCCACAUACCAGGCAGGUGACACAGUAAUUGUACAAGUUCUGUGGGAAAGCUCUAGCAAGAGUUCAAAGCGAUAGACAGCUUUGUGAGAGGUUACAAUAAAAGUUGGGUACCCCAUUACUGGUUAUGGUAAUGAAACCAGAAACAGUGCAGGCCGUCAGGGCAUUCCAAACAGGAUUUGCACUGAUGAAGACGGUGUUGAAAAUGUGGAGCAUUUCAGGUCAACUUUUAUAUCUGAGGGCCGCAUGGAGCUGGAAAGAAGUUCUGAAUUCUCUCUUCCGCAAAAGCAUGGGUAGGACAAAGAUGAACUACCAGAGCUGCAGAUUGUCUAGCAUCCUGCAUAGCAUAAAAGAGUGCAAGUCCUUCAUCUGUCAGGAGUUCCAGUCUCAUUUCCUUCAGGUCCUACAUUUCAAAAUUGGUUCAAUUUCCUUUAGUCCUAAGGUUCCUUGGAAUGUACACCGAGUGAUCUCCUAUCCAAGAAAAAUUCCAGUUUACUCUUUAAUUGAUCAUGUAGCCCAACGAGUUAUCCAUUAUCUCCUAGUGUUGCUUAGGCAUAUCCAUUCAAUAAAAUAUUAGUGCUUAGUGGAAAUUUAAUCUUGAACCACCGUAGAGUUUGCCAAAAUUAGGAAAGUUUGUACAAGUUUUCUAAGAGCAGCUACGAGGCCUGUAUUGUGAAAGAAUAACCUUGUUCUUGUAAACGAAAAGUGGUUUUGGACAGUUAAUUGUCAGAGCUAUUCAAAAAGAAAAUUGCAGCGCCGAAAA